AACGAACGCUGGCAGCAGGCCUAACACAUGCAAGUCGAACGCCCUAGCAAUAAAAAGUGGCAGACGGGUGAGUAACGCGUGGAAACGUACCCUUCGGUUCGGAAUAAGCCGAGGAAACCUGGUCUAAUACCGGAUACGUGCGAGAGCAGAAAGAUUUAUCGCCGAAAAAUCGGCCCGCAUCCAAUUAGCUAGUUAGUGAGGUAAAAGCUCACCAAGGCGACGAUCGGUAGCUGGUCUGAGAGGAUGAUCAGCCACACUGGGACUGAGACACGGCCCAGACUCCUACGGGAGGCAGCAGUGGGGAAUAUUGGACAAUGGGCGAAAGCCUGAUCCAGCCAUGCCACAUAAGUGAUGAAGGCCCUAAAGUUGUAAAGCUCUUUCGCCAGGGACGAUAAUGACGGUACCUGGAUAAGAAGCCCCGGCUAACUUCGUGCCAGCCGCCGCGGUAACAC
rnacentral:rRNA from 1 species